rnacentral:rRNA from 1 species
AGUGAACGCUGGCGGUAGGCCUAACACAUGCAAGUCGAACGGCAGCACAGUAAGAGCUUGCUCUUACGGGUGGCGAGUGGCGGACGGGUGAGGAAUACAUCGGAAUCUACUUUUUCGUGGGGGAUAACGUAGGGAAACUUACGCUAAUACCGCAUACGACCUACGGGUGAAAGCAGGGGAUCUUCGGACCUUGCGCGAUUGAAUGAGCCGAUGUCGGAUUAGCUAGUUGGCGGGGUAAAGGCCCACCAGGGCGACGAUCCGUAGCUGGUCUGAGAGGAUGAUCAGCCACACGGGAACUGAGACACGGUCCAGACUCCUACGGGAGGCAGCAGUGGGGAAUAUUGGACAAUGGGCGCAAGCCUGAUCCAGCCAUACCGCGUGGGUGAAGAAGGCCUUCGGGUUGUAAAGCCCUUUUGUUGGGAAAGAAAAGCAGCAGGUUAAUACCCCGCUGUUCUGACGGUACCCAAAGAAUAAGCACCGGCUAACUUCGUG